rnacentral:rRNA from 1 species
GCAAGUCGAGCGGUAACAGAUUGAUAGCUUGCUAUCAAUGCUGACGAGCGGCGGACGGGUGAGUAAUGCCUGGGAAUAUGUCCUGAUGUGGGGGAUAACUAUUGGAAACGAUAGCUAAUACCGCAUAAUUUCUUCGGAGCAAAGAGGGGGACCUUCGGGCCUCUCGCGUCAGGAUUAGCCCAGGUGGGAUUAGCUUGUUGGUGGGGUAAUGGCUCACCAAGGCAACGAUCCCUAGCUGGUCUGAGAGGAUGAUCAGCCACACUGGAACUGAGACACGGUCCAGACUCCUACGGGAGGCAGCAGUGGGGAAUAUUGCACAAUGGGGGAAACCCUGAUGCAGCCAUGCCGCGUGAGUGAAGAAGGCCUUUGGGUUGUAAAGCUCUUUC